rnacentral:rRNA from 1 species
UACGGGGGGGGUAAGCGUUGUUCGGAAUCACUGGGCGUAAAGGGCGCGUAGGCGGGAUGGCAAGUCAGUCGUGAAAUCUCUCGGCUCAACCGAGAAACGUCGGCUGAUACUGCCGUUCUUGAGGGAUGCAGAGGAGACUGGAAUUCCCGGUGUAGCGGUGAAAUGUGUAGAGAUCGGGAGGAACACCGGUGGCGAAGGCGGGUCUCUGGGCAUUUCCUGACGCUGAGGCGCGAAAGCGUGGGGAGCGAACAGG